UACGAAGGGGGCUAGCGUUGCUCGGAAUCACUGGGCGUAAAGCGCACGUAGGCGGAUUUCUAAGUCAGGGGUGAAAUCUUGGAGCUCAACUCCAGAACUGCCUUUGAUACUGGGAAUCUCGAGUCCGGGAGAGGUGAGUGGAACUGCGAGUGUAGAGGUGAAAUUCGUAGAUAUUCGCAAGAACACCAGUGGCGAAGGCGGCUCACUGGCCCGGUACUGACGCUGAGGUGCGAAAGCGUGGGGAGCAAACAGG
rnacentral:rRNA from 1 species